UCUUUUCUCUUACAGUUUCUUUUAAUUUUUUUUUUUCUUCUCUCCCUAAUUUUUGGAGCAUACUUGCGAUUUCCGCUUCGAUUGUAACCUGGAUUUGAGCUCCCUGUGGAAUUCUGGAGUUUUGACCUGAGUGUGAUUGGAGCUCGGAUUAGGGUUUUGGUUGGCUUCUCAGUGUUAAUUGAUGCUCUCCAGGAAGCGAGGGAUUAGCGGUUCGAUCAUUGGAUUUGCUGAAGUUUUAAAGAGGAGGCCGGAAGAUGAAUUUCAGGGGCAUGGAGAUCGAUGAAAACGAUGGCCGGCAGCAACCGGAAGCUGCGCCGGCGCUGGCGCGGCAGUCUUCGAUUUACUCUUUGACCUUCGAUGAGUUUCAGAGCUCUAUGGGUGGUUUAGGUAAGGACUAUGGUUCGAUGAACAUGGACGAGUUUCUUAAGAAUAUAUGGACGGCUGAGGAGAGUCAGGCCAUGGCAGCUGCCCUCGGUGCUUCUGUCGGUGGCGUUGGUGGGGCCCAGGCUGGGCUUCAGCGCCAGGGUUCGAUCACCCUUCCGAGAACUCUUAGCCAGAAGACCGUCGAUGAGGUGUGGCGUGAUGUAAUCAAUGAGAGCGGCGCCGGUGGCUCAGGUGUCGGCGCCGGUGGAUCCGGGUUCCAACACCAUCAGCGGCAGCCAACCCUUGGGGAGAUGACCCUCGAAGAAUUCCUGGUACGAGCUGGGGUUGUGAAGGAGGAGAUCAGCAUUUCGACCUCCAGACCUGUUGUUAAUGGUAUAGUUUCUUCUGGCAACGGCGUUUAUUACGGAGAUUUGUCGGCUUCAGGAAACAACAAUACCGGGAUAGCCCUCGGCUUUCCUCAGGCGGGUCAGGGUAAUUUGGGCAUCAUGCCGGCCUCAAUCCCUAGUAAUUCUGGUGCUAACCUUGCCAUGUCCGCCACGGGCACGAGGUCAUACGCCCAGCAGCUCCCAUUGGGCAGUAAUGUCAAUCUCGGAAGUCCUCGGGGUAUGAGAGGCGGAGGACUUGUUGGUAUUGGAGAUCCGGUAAUCGGCAAUGGUUUGAUCACCGGGGUGGUUGGUUUGGGAGGAGGGGGUGUCAACGUUGGUACGUCGGUAUCUCCGGUGCAUCAGAUUCCGUCGGACGGGCUUGCGAAAGGGAAUGGGGAUCUUUCUUCUUUGUCUCCCGUACCAUACGUUUUCAAUGGGGGACUGAGGGGGAGGAAGUGCAGUGGAGCAGUGGAGAAGGUUGUGGAGAGGAGGCAGAAGAGGAUGAUUAAGAACAGAGAGUCUGCCGCAAGGUCUCGUGCCCGGAAGCAGGCUUAUACGAUGGAGCUAGAAGCUGAAGUUGCUAAACUAAAAGAGCAAAACCAGGAACUUCAAAAGAAACAGGCUGAGAUCGUCGCAAUGCAGAAAAAUCAGUCCGGGACUUGUUGGAGCUUGUUGAAGGUCAGUCAGGGAUCUAUCGAGAUGGCCAAAGGUUGAUGCAGUCUUGCUAAACCUUCUGGACCUUGUUGCCAGUUCUCAUCAUAGCCUCUUUGUGCCAGAUCUUAGAGAUGCUUAAUCAGCAGCGAGAAACUAAGAAGUUAUGCUUGCGAAGGACGCAGACUGGUCCCUGGUAAAGCAAAAGCUUGGACCGGAAAAGUCACAUUCUACCUCGUGAGGGGUUUUGUUUUAUUUGUAGAAAUUGCUGUAAAUUAAGGAUCAAGAGUGUGUGGUUGUAGAUAAGAUUUCCCAUCCCUUAAUUAAGGCUUCGCUUGGGACGGCUUUCUCACUGCUUCUUAAAGCAGCUUUUUAGUACUAGAAAUCUACUUUAAGAAGCAGUAAAAAAGCCGCCCCAAAUGAAGCUAAGUUUGGUCCUUUUAUUGCCACCCACGUUUUUAGUUCUGAGGUUGGAGCACUUGACUUUCUGCUCUACUUUUAUUGUCAAUGUCAUUAUCCAUUGCAUGGCUUGGGGUAGUUUUAUUGACUCAGUUAUGUUGUACUAAGACUUCAAAUACGAUUAGAUUUGACCAUACUUGCAUUUUUAACAGCUACUCA